AUUGAACGCUAGCGGCAGGCCUUACACAUGCAAGUCGAACGGAGUGGCGGACGGGUGAGUAAUAUAUCGGAACGUGCCCAGUAGCGGGGGAUAACUACGCGAAAGAGUGGCUAAUACCGCAUACUAUAGGAGGGGUCGACAUCGGAUUAGCUAGUUGGUGGGGUAAAGGCUCACCAAGGCAACGCUCCGUAGCUGGUUUGAGAGGAGGACCAGCCACACUGGAACUGAGACACGGCCCAGACUCCUACGGGAGGCAGCAGUGGGGAAUAUUGGACAAUGGGCGAAACCCUGAUCCAGCCAUCCCGCGUGUAUGAAGAAGGCCUUCGGGUUGUAAAGUACUUUCAGUCGGGAGGCGUUACCGACAGAAGAAGCACCGGCUAACUCCGUGCCAGCAGCCGCGGUAAUAC
rnacentral:rRNA from 1 species